rnacentral:lncRNA from 1 species
AACUUUAAAAACCAGUCCAUCUUAUAAUUAGUUGUGUUCUUCACAUAUAUAUCACAUAUAUAUGUAACGCAAGUAUUUUUUAACUUAUUUUACUCAGUUUACUCAUUUAUUUGUUUGCUUUUUUCCAUUUCAUUUGUGAAAGCACACUUUCAAUCUCUAUUGUGGUUUUCUAAAGAAUAGAAAAAAAAAAAAAAAAAAAAAAAAACUUCACAUAGCUUCACAUAACAUCACAUAACUUCAUAUAACUUAAUUUUCAACUGUUGCACGCACACCUGCACCUACUAUGUGACGUAAUGUGAUGUUGAAAAGGCUUAGAACAUUUUUCAGCUGGCAUAACAGUUAUAUAGUAAAUAAAAAAUAUUCAUUUCAAUUUGUUAGCGUGCGCAAAUAUGAAUCAACUAUAUUUCGAAAAAGCACAAGAAAGAUGCUAGCUUUUUUUUACAAAGAAGUUCACCCUGACUUAGCUCAUACUUUACCAGAUGAAUUAAAAAAAAUAAAUAAUGAUUCAUUAAGCAUUUUAAAUUCAUAUAUAGACGUUUUGUGUACACCUGUAAAGGAUAAAGAAAAUAAUAUAUUCAUAGAAAAAAAAAUUAUAUUCUUCAAACAAUAUGUAAAUUCUAAUAAUGUUAUACUAAAGGGUAGAUACAAAAAUUUUACUAUUAAAUUACAAAAUGUAACAAAUAAUAUAACUUUUGAACAAAAAGAAAAUAUAAUCGCUAAAUUAAUAUAUGAUAUACAAAAUGCAUUAGGAAAAAUAAAAAAUACAAACGAGUCUAGUAAAAGUAUAAACCUUUCUGAAACUGGACUAGAAAAUGGACUAGAAACUGAUGAUGUUAAUGAUGAAAACAUUAUUGAUAACCUUUCUCACAGCUCUAACAAAAAAAAGAACCAAAACAGCCAUAUAAAUUCAAUAUGGGAUGAUUUAAUGUAUUAUACAAAAAACACACAAGCACUUUAUCAACCAUCUGAAGAAACAGUCGAAUUAAUACAAAAGAAAAAAAAUUAUUUUUAUUAUAUUAAAAAAAAAUUACUAUAUAAAUAUCAAAAUAUAAAAAAUAAAAAACGAAAAAAAGUGAAAAUACAACAAAUCAAUCAAGUUGCUAAUAAAAUAGCAGAAGAAAAAUUUCCUCAGCUCGAAAGUAAAAAUAAUUAUUAUCAAAAAAAUAUAGACCAAAGUUAUAAAAUAAUUAAUAAUGGAUUUAAUCCGAAUUUAAUUUACUUUCAUAAAAAUAUUAAACAACAUCAAAAACAAAUAGCUAUCCAAAGGUUAUGUGGAAUGCAUUUAAAAAAUGAUGCAGAUAAAUGGCUGUUAGAAAAUUGUCUAAAAUUAUUAAAAAACCAUGAAACGCCAAUUCCUCUGGUAAUUUAUGAUGGACCAAGUAUUUACUUAUCAUCCACAUUUGGAUAUAUAUAUAUACCCUUGGAUUUUUGUUUAAACGCCUUUUUUACAUUUUUAGAGAACAAUCUUGAUCAAGCAAGGAAAAUUCGAGCAAAGGUCUUAAAAUCCUUUGAUUAAAUAAUUUGGCCAAAAGUUAAAGACUAAAUCUUAUAUUUAAAACUCAGUUUAAGAAACCAAUAUAACACAUCAUUUUAGUUUGGGUGGUCCAAGAUAUAAAAAAGUUAAUAUAUAUAUAUAUAUAUAUAUAACGUUAGCACUUUAUGGGUUAAUCUAAAGUGUUAGUUGUUAAUAGCAUUAUUAUAUAUAUGUACAUGGGAGUAUGUACAAUUUUGAGCAACACAUAAAUGCUGACACAUGUUUUUAAUUUAUAUUGUCUGUACAAUAAAUAUUUACUAGUUUUUUUUUUUUUUUUUAUU